GCGAUAGGGGUCAUCAAGGGUUAGGAACAGGCAUUUCUCCUCCCCACCCAAUCCCAUUCACCCAUACCUGCGAUAGGGGUCAUCAAGGGUCAGGAACAGGCAUUUCCCUCCCCACUAAUCCCAUCCACCCAUACCUGCGAUAGGGGUCAUCAAGGGUCAGGAACAGGCAUUUCUCCUCCCCACCCAAUCCCAUCCACCCAUACCUGCGAUAGGGGUCAUCGAGGGUUAGGAACAGGCAUUUCUCCUCCCCACCCAAUCCCAUCCACCCAUACCUGCGAUAGGGGUCAUCGAGGGUUAGGAACAGGCAUUUCUCCUCCCCAACCAAUCCCAUC
ensembl:lncRNA